GCGGCAGCGGCGACGGCGGUGGCGGCAGCGCUCCAACUCGCUCCACGCUCCGGGCUCCGCCGUCGAGCCGGGAGAGAGAGAGCCUUUGCUGAGCGACCAGCCACCCGGCCGGACGACACCAGCCACCCGGGCCCCUUGGAGGCACCGCGCUCACCCAGGGCCGCCACAGGCACCCAAAGCCGAACUCCAAGAUGGGAGGCAAGCUGAGCAAGAAGAAGAAGGGCUACAAUGUGAACGACGAGGCACCCGCCGCCGCCGCCAGCUCCGAGCAAAGCGUGGCCGUCAAAGAGUAACCGGGACAGCCAACCAGAACCGACGCCACUCGCAAACGACCUGUCUUCUCACGCUCUCUCUCUCUCUGUUUCUCACUCUGUCCUCUCUCUGUCUCUAUCCUAUACUAACUUGUUUCAAAUUGGAAGUGAGGAUAUGUAUUGCCCAAGGGAUUAAAUAAACAAAAGAAAAGAAAAGAGAAAAAAAAUAAAGAGGAUGUGUCCCAUCAGGGGAGGGAGGGGGCGGGGAGAAUCCAAAUAGUAUUUUUGUGGGGAAAUAUCUAAUAUACCUUCAGUCAACUUGACCAGUCAGUCCUGGAUUUUCGAGAUCAUUGUCUGAAAGUACAUCAUCUGUACCCUGAACCGCUGUCCCCUAGGCUCCAUCCUUAAAAACCCCAGCAUCUCUCCCGCGAUGCAGCUGGGGAGGGAGGCGUUUGAUUCUGCCCACAGGACCAGUGCCAAGGCAAUCAGAUCUUUAUGAAAGCAGUAUUUUCUGUGUUUCCUUUUUAAUUUACAGCCUUUUUCUUAAUUUUUUUGGUAUUUUUUUAAACGUUCGUGGAUGAAUGCCAACUUUCAGACGGAGCCCACUUAGCUUGUCCACAUGUAUCUCAAUGCCAACCCUCCAUUUUUCCUCUCCAGAUAUUUUUGGGAGUGACAAACAUUCUCUCAUCAUACUUAGCCUACCUAGAUUUCUCACGACGAGUAAUGCAUGUCCGUGGUUGGGUGCACCUGUAGUUCUGUUUAUUGGUCAGUGGAAAUGAAAAUAAAAAAAAAUAAAAAAUAAAAAAAAAAGAAGUCUGCGUUCACUGCAGCGCCAGUUUUCUUCCAUCUGUGUCUCAGACACCAACACACCACCCAUUGGAAAAAUGGAAAAAAAAUAAAUAAAAAAAUAAAAAAAAUGUACAAUGGAUGCAUUGAAAUUAUAUGUAAUUGUAUAAAUGGUGCAACAGUAAUAAAGUUAAACAAUUAAAAAG
rnacentral:lncRNA from 1 species